rnacentral:snRNA from 1 species
AGGUCAUCCUGCAGCUUCAG